CAUGGCAUGUUCAAACACCAGUUCCUGUAUGAUCACCAAAGUUAAGUAACAUAGAGUCUGGUCAGUAUCUUGAUGGGUGACUGCUUGGGAAUACCAGGUGCUGUAAG